AUGCGUGUUGUUUAGCACUGCUAGCAGCUGGCACUCUUGGCACGAAGAGAAGAUUGCUGCUGGCGGUGGCACUGCUAGCCUUGCAGCUGGCGGUGGCACUGGCACUGGCAGUCUCCAGUCCAGUCUCAGUCUUUAGUCUGACAGCGACUGGAGAAUGACGUGCGUGGUGCUGGUCUGCAGCCGUGACAGGCGAAUAUCGAGGACCAUCACACAUUUUAAGUCGUCGAAGAGGGCGCAACAGUGCGGUUCCAGUGCGCAAUCGUCGGCCACCCGACGCCCUGGGUGACCUGGGACAAGGACGGCCUGAUCCUGACGCCGUCGCGCAGACUGACCAUCAAGGAGAAAGACGAUCUGCGCAUCGUCGAAAUCAGCGAGGUGACCGUGGAGGACGCCGGCCUCUACAGAGCCACCCUGGAGAACGACGUCGGCCGCAUCGAGGCUAGCGCCAGGCUGGACGUCAUCGAUGCUGAACGCUGAGGAGACGGACGAUGCUUAGCUCGAGUUCGACGUUGAGGAUUGCGUGUUUUCGCGCGAUUGUCUAUCCCCAACGUCGUCCGUGUCUUCGACAUCGUCGGCCAACUGCUCGGAGCACUGGGCUGCAUCUUUGGCGCUUGCGGCCGUGACGUUGGCCUUUUUGGCAGUGCUGCCGUCCAAUUCUCAUCCGCUGGGGCGAUUGUCGGCAAUCCUUUCAGCAGCGGGAACGACGGGAACGUGCAUCCUUCGCGCGAUCUCAUCCUCAAUAGCCUUCGGCAGCACGUGCAACGCGUCAAUGUCAAGCUGGUUUCCAGCCUGGCCGACGCCGUGAAGAAGACGGAGCCGCCCAGCAUCCAGGUUACGCCACGCCACCAGGGUCCCAUCCAGAAAGUCAGACGCGAUUGAGUCUCUGUUCAAGAGCGUCAAGCAGUUUGCAAACAAGGCUCUAAACUGUGGUGACGCGGAGAACAAGUUGGCCGUUCCCGAACCGACGCUAAUCCUAGCUAAAAAGCUGGCCAAGCCUUCGGUCGCCGAGAGGAACUCGUUUGGAGACUCCUCGCUGGCUGACUUCACUCUAAAUAGUCAGACCAGCGUUGGCGUUGGCUCGUUGACCGCGUCUCCUUGUCCUCGCUCGAGAAACAGACCGCCGAGCUGACCAAUGCCAAGUCAGCCGCUUUCACAAGUCACUGUCAGACUCGCAGGCAUUGCACUGGCAGAUGCUGGAGGAUGCGUGCUCUGUUGGCCUGCGGUCGUAAUUUAGUUGCCCGGGACCCGGCCAGCGACCUUUAGGUGACUGUCGAGGACCACGGCUGACCCGCGGCCACACACAGGGAUAAAGGGGCCUGCGAGGCGGCUGGCAACCACCAGGCGGCCAUCGAGGGCCGUGGCCGGCCAUGGACGGCAUGCAGGACAAGUCGGAGGGUCCCGCUCAGCCAGAUUCUGAUUGUCAGGGUGCGAGGCUGACUUCUCCCAAGUGCGUCGUCACGCUGGCUUGCAAGGACUUCCGCAAAUUACAGCAGUAGCUGCCUCCGCUAGUAGCACAGGUCCAACCUCCGACCCUGGCUGACCCGCGGCCACAGAGUGGGGUGCGAGGCGGAAUUCUCCGAAGUGCAUCGUAAGGCUGACUUGCAAGGACAUCCGCAAAUUACAGCAGCAACUGCCUCCGCCAGCAGCACAUGCAGGUGCAACCUUCGACCCUGCGGCCGCCGCCCAUCGCUGAGAGCGAUUCUAUCGCAUGGAUGUCCUACAGAACAUACCCUUGCCACCAGCCGCACGAGGGGCUCUAUUUUGAAGACAGAUAUAAUGCCUGGCUCUUCCUCCGAGUGGCUUUGGCAACAAGGUGCUGAACGUUGAGGGGACGGACGUUGUGUAGCUUGAGUUCGCCGUUGAGGAUUACGUGUUUACGAGCGAUUGUCCAUCGCCAACGUCGUCCGUGUCUUCGACUUAGUCGACCAACUGCUCGGGAGCAAUGGGCUGCAUCCUCGGCGCUUGCGGCCGUGACGUCGGCCUUUUUGGCAGUGCUGCCGUCCAAUUCUCAUCCGCUCGGGCGAUUGUCCGCAAACCCUGAAGCAGCGGGAACGUCGGGAACGUGCAUCCUUCGCACUAUCUCAUCCCCAACAGCCUUCGGCAGCACGAACAACGCGUCAACGUCAGGCCGCCUCCCAGCUUGGCCGGCGUCAUGAAGGCGGAGCCGCCCAGCAUCAAGGUUACGCCCCGUCACCAGGGUUCCAUCCAGAAAGUCAGACGCGAUUGAGUCUCUGUCCAAGAGCGUGAAGCAGGCUCUAAGCUGUGGUGACGCGGAGAGCAAGUUUGCCGUUCCCGAACCGACGCUAAGCCUGGCUAAAAAGCUGGUCAAGACUGCGGUUGGCGAGAGGACUUCGUUCGGCGACUCCGCGCUGUUGUCCGACCUCACUCUAUGGUCAGACCAGCGUUGGCGUUGGCUGCAGCACUUGCUUGACAAAGUGCUCAGCAAGUGCAGCCGCCACUUACGUUGGCUCCUUGAGCGCGUCUCCUUGUCUUCGCUCGAGAAGCAGGUCGCCGAGCUGACCAUUGCCAAGUCAGCCACUCUCACAAAUCACCGUCAGACUUGCAGGCAUUGCACUGGCAGAUGCUGGAGGAUGCGUGCUCUGUUGGCCUGCGGUCGUAAUUUAGUUGCCCGGGACCCGGCCAGCGACCAUUAAGUGACUGUCGAGGACCAUAGCUGACCCGCGGCCACACACAGGGAUAAAGGGGCCUGCGAGGCGGCUGGCAACCACCAGGCGGCCAUCGAGGGCCGUGGCCGGCCAUGGACGGCAUGCAGGACAAGUCGGAGGGUCCCGCUCAGCCAGAUUCUGAUUGUCAGGGUGCGAGGCUGACUUCUCCCAAGUGCGUCGUCACGCUGGCUUGCAAGGACUUCCGCAAAUUACAGCAGUAGCUGCCUCCGCUAGUAGCACAGGUCCAACCUCCGACCCUGGCUGACCCGCGGCCACAGAGUGGGGUGCGAGGCGGAAUUCUCCGAAGUGCAUCGUAAGGCUGACUUGCAAGGACAUCCGCAAAUUACAGCAGCAACUGCCUCCGCCAGCAGCACAGGUCCAACCUCCGACCCAGGCUGACCCGCGGCCACACACCGGGUGAGGGCCUUCUGCGGUUGCGGCCAUCGGCCACACCGACCUUUAAGAUGUGCUCUUUAAGAUCGUGCGAGUUUGCCAUCGCCACUUCGCCGCGGGGAGCUAUGCAGUAUGCAGGCAGGGCCUGUUGAGCGCUUGCUCGACUUUGAGGAAGAUGGCCGCGCAGUCAUCACGAUUUUUGAUUCGGACCGGCGUGAGUUGGCGGCCGCAGCCAUCCUGGAGAUGGAUGUGCUGUUAUUGGUGAACUGCGGCCGUGGGGCUGGCAGGUUGCCCGCGACCUUCAGGCGACCCGACCAGCGGGUACCACGGCCGAUUCGCGAUUGGGGAUUUCUGAUGCAGCAGUGGCUGCCGAAGCUGGAGGGCGAGCAUCGGCAGGACGGUUACAAGGUGCGCAGCUCGAGCAGAAAUGGAAGCUUGGCCUGCAGUUCGACGUGGCCAUGCUCAUCUCCGAGGGCGUCAUCCUCAAGACCAGAAAGACGCAGCUUUACGACCUGAGACAGUCUACACGCCUCCCAGGACAAGCUCGUCACUGUCAAGACUGCCAGGCCGCAUGGCAACGCCCACAUGAACGAGCUGCAGUAGCCUUACCUCGAGUAACACGUAUCGAUAACUUUUUAUUAACGAUUUUGAUAAAAUGGUUUAAAUUUAUUUUAAAUUAGCGGUAGUUUGUGACAGUUGCUGUUAAGCAUUAAAAAAUUUAUUGAAAAAUCUCGGACCUAUUACGCAUAACUACAUAAUUUUGUCGAAAGAAUUUUGUUUGUCGACAGAGUGAACAAGACACAGACGCAGGAGCUGCAUGAGUAGCUGUAGGAGGGGAGAUAACAGCCAAAACAGCUGCUGUUGGAGGAGGAGCGGAAGUGAAUGGCGCAUCAGCUGCAACGCGCUUGCCUACUUGAUCGCCGAAGCCGAAGAGAUGGUGGCCAGCGUCAAAAAGGACAUGGGCAUGAUGCAGUUUCAGCCGAAGGACCUGCCCGCGCGGUACAGCGCUAACUUGGAGGAAGAUCUUGCUGAAGAUUCAGCUGCGGCAGGAGCUGAAGCCAAAGGCCGUCAACAAGCUGGCCGAAGUCGUCAACCGCAAGGUCAUGAUGUGCUAUUGACCGAUCUAUAUACACCACACAGAGAAGUGGUGCCGAAUGUCGCAGGAGAAAAACACGUCUAAAGUGUGAUCUUGGGCAAGAAUCAUCGCCAACAGCAGCAGUGGUGAGGGCCCGGGGAUCCUGUCACACUGUCGGCUGGGUAUCUAAGCAGAAAGCUCCUGUGAUGAGAGCUUCAAACUUCUGUUUUUCCUACGUUCUGCCAUGAGUCUACGCGAUUGGCUGGCAACCAGGUGAAGCUUGGAGAAGGCUGCCUUGGAGACGACGAGUAGAUGCCCCCGGAGUUGGACCUCAUGCUGCUUGACUGGAGCCGCUCUUCCUGGUCUCUGGACGGCUCUGCCCUUGACAACUUUGUUGGUGGACCACAUCCUAGGUUGCAUGAGGAUCACCGUACACUUGUAUUCCAUCACAAGGCAAGUAACGCUAUUUAAAGUCGAGAACAGAUGCUGUAAUGCACAGAAGGUCCAAUUAUAAAUUUAGAUAUUUGCGUUUUUUUUACAAAUAUUAUCGAAUUAACGCUAAAUAUUUUGUGAAAAUUGUUUGAAGUGUACGUAAAUCAGUCAAUUGGCAAAAGAAAUUUGAUUUCACUGCUUUGAAGCUAUUUCACAUGGUAAAUGAUUUUGCCUGUGUGAAUAAGGUACAAUUAUAUAUUGCUUUUACAUUUGAAUGCUGGAAUUGUUUCAUAUUAUGUGGCACUUCCUGAGCCUGAAGGAAAUGCUGGGGUGGCUGGAGGCGAAGGCUAUCGUGAAGCUGCCGUCAACAACGUCGGCAAAGGUGGUAAGCCAGUUGGAUCCGACAACGAUGGAUCGUUUCCGGGGUGGAGCCUGGCGAGCGAGCUAACUGCCGUGCAAGCGUAAGCCGGAGAAGCAACUCGCUCGAGGCCUGGUAGGGGGAGGACUUCACUGUCCAUUAUGCGUAGCGGCCUGCCAGAGAACAACUCUUGUUGGACAUAGCAACCCUGAGGUCUUUGAAGAGGACGAGAGCUUGAAGGAGAGCAUCCUCUCGCAAAAUGGCGUUUGUCGGCAACCACUCUUCCCGGAUUCAGCAAUUUCAAAGACUAGUUAUGUGAAGCCGCGUUUGCUGAUGGGUUAAGGGCGCAAGAUCUGCUGAAGUUAUCAGUUCAAGUGUUCCCGCGUAGUGAUUGUUCUCAACUCUUCACUAUUGUUGAUGUGUUUUGUUGUUGAGCGAGCUGUUUGAAUUAUCUUUGGUUAUUUAUUGCGAAGUGAAAUUGUUGGGUGUUUUGAUUUAAAGUCAAGGAAAAUUCUUGCUUUGCAUAUUCUAUGCACUGAAGUGUGUCUACUUUUGAGGUAUGUUAUUGUUAUUUUGUAAUAUUGUCAAUGUUGUCAUAUUAAAGAUGCGAAUUGAAUUGGUUGUGGGCGGGUUAGUUUCAAUUUAUUUUGCAGGUUGUCUUGAUUGCCUGGAGAGGAUGACUGUGGCCUGGAUGGUGACUGGUGGUUUGAUGCCUGGUUGUGGAAGGUAAGCUGGGCAUGUGAGGCGGGAAUCUGUCUGGAGGGCUGUAUGGAAAAGCAUGGUAAACUUUAUUGCAGGUUAAAUUUAAAAUGGUCACACUGCCUUGUGUGAAUGGUAAGAAACAGGUCCCCAAAAUUACGGUGAUCAUGGGUUGUGAUUAGGUAAGUGCAUGAUUCUGUUCCAGCCAUUUUUUGACGCAACAAAUGACCGGAACAUGAAUCCUGCGCUUUGAGCGUGAAUUUUCCAGGUCAAAUCCUCUCGGUUAAACGAUCUAUCCUUCAUUCUCAAGGUCUUUUAUAUUAACGAACGGUAAGAUGAAU